GCCUGCUACUCUGCACCUUGGCUCUGUACUUCUGCACCCAGCACCCUCUUGCCAUAGCAGGUGAGCUCUGUACCCCAAGGAAAACCUGGGGCUCCUGUGGGGAACAGGGCAAAGCCAACAUGGUGCAAUUGGGACUUUGUCCCUCUCCCCUCCAGGCUGUAUUCUGUGGGAUGGAGCUGCACUGGGGAACCUUUUCUCAUGGUUUUGACCCCAGAAACACCUGUUCUUCACAUGCAGCAUGGCUGGAAGGGAAAAGGAGAAGCUGUUAGAAAGUCUGUCUAUAGCACUGCUGCAGUGAUCGCCUGGGCUGCUGCCUCUGCCCUGCUUGUUGGGCUCCCUGUUCACCAGCUGUAAAGGGUCUUAUGAGAACCUUUAUUACUUGUUUGGGACAUCCUGUCACUUAAUGCCAUCCAUAUUCCAACCUCAAUAUGGCCAAUGCUUCCUGCAAAUCCCUUUGGACUGUGCAGUGGCUCAGGAGGGUACGCAGGGCUUGCUGAGUGUGAGGUUGGUGUUUCCUUCACCGUGGGGGUACUUUGGAUCUUCCAGAGCCCGAUGGUACUUACAACUCCUCUGCGGCCUCCAACUCCUCUGCGGCCUCCAACUCCUCUGCGGCCUCCGACUCCUCUGCGGCCUCCGACUCCUCUGCGGCAUCUGACUCCUGGGUGAAUGGGACAGAAGAAACACCAGUAAGGAAGGGGACCAUUGCUCAGGCUGUUACAACCCUGCAGAGAGCGUCUCUAGCAUGCGUGGUCUCUUGUGGCAGUCGGAGUCCCAUGGGAGCAGCUCCCUGGGGUGGAAGGGGAGCACCUGGGGCACGGUGGGUGGGUGGAGGAGCCCCUUGGACAGCAAAGCCGUGGUCAGGGCAAGCAUAAUGGCGGUGCUGCCUGCUGGUGCUGCCCGGUGGUGCUGCGUGAGCCGGGUUCUCUGCGCGGGACUUCCCAGCCUGCUCUCUGUGCAGCUCACCUGCCAGAGCUUUCACUGCUCCGGGGAGAGGUGUUACCAGGAUGAAGCCUACGCCAAUGAAACGAUGACCUGCUACAACAGCUCUUACUGUGAGCUCUACCGAUUCUCCAGCACAAACUACACAGCCAGGUGCAGCAGCGACUGCAGCACAGAGAAUUGCAGGACCAACAGCAGUGUGAGCAUGCAGCAGUGUGCCCUGGACUGCUGCGACUCACCCCUCUGCCUUCAGCUCAAUGCCAGCUUCUAUGGUAACUCCUUGCGGGGCCUGAGGCCGGCAGCUGUCUGA
rnacentral:lncRNA from 1 species